GAUGAACGCUGGCGGCGUGCUUAACACAUGCAAGUCGAACGGAAAGGCCCUGCUUGCAGGGUACUCGAGUGGCGAACGGGUGAGUAACACGUGGGUGAUCUGCCCUGUACUUUGGGAUAAGCCUGGGAAACCGGGUCUAAUACCGAAUAUGACAAUUGUUUGGACGCGAUUGUGGAAAGCUUUUGCGGUAUGGGAUGAGCUCGCGGCCUAUCAGCUUGUUGGUGGGGUAAUGGCCUACCAAGGCGUCGACGGGUAGCCGGCCUGAGAGGGUGUACGGCCACAUUGGGACUGAGAUACGGCCCAGACUCCUACGGGAGGCAGCAGUGGGGAAUAUUGCACAAUGGGCGCAAGCCUGAUGCAGCGACGCCGCGUGGGGGAUGACGGCCUUCGGGUUGUAAACUCCUUUCGCAACCGACGAAGCCUUUUGGUGACGGUAGGUUGAGAAGAAGCACCGGCUAACUACGU
rnacentral:rRNA from 1 species